UUGGAUGUCCGGGGCCGCACGCGCGCUACACUGAAGGAAUCAGCGUGUGCUUUCCCGGUCCGGUAGGACUGGGUAACCCGUUGAAACUCCUUCGUGAUAGGGAUAGGGGCUUGUAAUUAUUCCCCUUGAACGAGGAAUGCCCAGUAAGCGCGAGUCAUCAACUCGUGUUGAUUACGUCCCUGCCUCUUGUGCACACCGCCCGUCGCUAAUACCGAUUGAGUGAUUUAGUGAGGUCCUCGGACUGGCUCUCGGAGCGGCCUCUGGCCGGGCCGACGUGCCGGAAAGAUGACCAAACUUGAUCACUUAGAGGAAUUAAAAGUCGUAACAAGGUUUCC
rnacentral:rRNA from 1 species